rnacentral:rRNA from 1 species
GAUGAACGCUGGCGGCGUGCCUAAUACAUGCAAGUCGAGCGAACAGACGAGGAGCUUGCUCCUCUGACGUUAGCGGCGGACGGGUGAGUAACACGUGGAUAACCUACCUAUAAGACUGGGAUAACUUCGGGAAACCGGAGCUAAUACCGGAUAAUAUAUUGAACCGCAUGGUUCAAUAGUGAAAGACGGUUUUGCUGUCACUUAUAGAUGGAUCCGCGCCGCAUUAGCUAGUUGGUAAGGUAAAGGCUUACCAAGGCAACGAUGCGUAACCGACGUGAGAGAGUGAUAGGCCACAUGGGAACUGAGACACGGUCCUGGCUCCUACGGGAGGCAGCAGUAGGGAAUCGUCGGCAAUGGGCGAAAGUCUGACAGAGCAACGGCGCGUGAGUGAUGACGGUCUUCGGAUCGUAAAACUCUGUUAUUAGGUAAGAACAAAUGUGUAAGUAACUAUGCACGUCUUGACGGUACCGAAUCAGAAAGCCACGGCUAACUACGUG